rnacentral:rRNA from 1 species
GUAGGGAAUCUUCCACAAUGGACGAAAGUCUGAUGGAGCAACGCCGCGUGUGUGAUGAAGGGUUUCGGCUCGUAAAACACUGUUAUAAGAGAAGAACGUCAGUGAGAGUAACUGCUCAUUGAGUGACGGUAUCUUAUCAGAAAGGGACGGCUAAAUACGUGCCAGCAGCCGCGGUAAUACGUAUGUCCCAAGCGUUAUCCGGAUUUAUUGGGCGUAAAGCGAGCGCAGGCGGUUAUUUAAGUCUGAUGUGAAAGCCUACGGCUCAACCGUAGAAUUGCAUCGGAAACUGGAUGACUUGAGUGCAGUAGAGGAGAGUGGAACUCCAUGUGUAGCGGUGAAAUGCGUAGAUAUAUGGAAGAACACCAGAGGCGAAGGCGGCUCUCUGGACUGUAACUGACGCUGAGGCUCGAAAGUGUGGGUAGCAAACAGGAUUAGAAACCCUAGUAGUCC